UACUAUGUUACGACUUAUCUCGUUUUAACAUUUCUAACGAGAGCGACGGCGAUGUGUGCAUAUCUUAGAGCUAAAAUCAAAUUAAUAAUCUUCAUAAAAUUACUAUUAAAUCCACCUUUAUAUUAAUAAUUAAAAUUAAUAAUCCGUAUAUUUAUAAAUAUUGUAAUCCACCACCACUUAAUUAUAAACUGCACCUUGACCUGAAAAAUUAUCUAAUAAAUAUUAAAAAAAUUUUACUCUAAAAAGAUUUUCAACAACGGCGGUAUACAUAUUAAUAAAUCAAGUAAGGUCCAACGUGGAAUAUCGAUUAUGGGACAGAUUCCUCUAAAUAGACUAAAAUACCGCAAAUUCUUUAAGUUUCAAGAUCAUAUCUAAUACUACUUAAGUUUAAUUUAAUUAACACCCAAAAUAUAAGGGUAUCUAAUCCUAGUUU
rnacentral:rRNA from 1 species